GACGUAGGGCGCGAGCGUUGUCCGGAUUUAUUGGGCGUAAAGAGCUCGUAGGCGGUUCAUUGCGUCAAUCGUGAAAUCCGUGUGCUCAACUACAGGCUUGCGGUUGAGUACGGGGUGGGCGUGGAGGUUCGGUGAGGGGAGACGUGGAAUUCCUGGAUGUGAGCGGUGAAAUGCGCGAGAUAUCAGGAGGGAACACCGGUGGCGAAGGCGGGUCG
rnacentral:rRNA from 1 species